rnacentral:rRNA from 1 species
UACGGGGGGGGCAAGCGUUGUUCGGAAUUACUGGGCGUAAAGGGCUUGUAGGUGGCCAACUAAGUCAGACGUGAAAUCCCUCGGCUUAACCGGGGAACUGCGUCUGAUACUGGAUGGCUAGAGUUUGGGAGAGGGAUGCGGAAUUCCAGGUGUAGCGGUGAAAUGCGUAGAUAUCUGGAGGAACACCGGUGGCGAAGGCGGCAUCCUGGACCAACACUGACGCUGAGGAGCGAAAGCCAGGGGAGCAAACGGG